AACGAACGCUAGCGGCAGGCUUAACACAUGCAAGUCGAACGCCCCGCAAGGGGAGUGGCAGACGGGUGAGUAACGCGUGGGAACAUACCCUUUGGUCUGGGAUAACUUGGGGAAACUCGAGCUAAUACCGGAUACGUCCGUGAGGAGAAAGGUUUACUGCCGAAGGAUUGGCCCGCGUCCGAUUAGCUAGUUGGUGUUGAUAAUGGCUCACCAAGGCGACGAUCGGUAGCUGGUCUGAGAGGAUGGCCAGCCACAUUGGGACUGAGACACGGCCCAAACUCCUACGGGAGGCAGCAGUGGGGAAUAUUGGACAAUGGGCGCAAGCCUGAUCCAGCCAUGCCGCGUGAGUGAUGACGGCCUUAGGGUUGUAAAGCUCUUUCGCACGCGACGAUAAUGACGGUAGCGUGAGAAGAAGCCCCGGCUAACUUCGUGCCAGCAGCCGCCGUAACAC
rnacentral:rRNA from 1 species